rnacentral:rRNA from 1 species
GAUGGACAUUGCAAAGAGUGGCGAACGGGUGAGUAACACGUGGGAAACCUACCUCUUAGCAGGGGAUAACAUUUGGAAACAGAUGCUAAUACCGUAUAACAAUGACAACCGCAUGGUUGUUAUUUGAAAGAUGGUUCUGCUAUCACUAAGAGAUGGUCCCGCGGUGCAUUAGCUAGUUGGUAAGGUAAUGGCUUACCAAGGCGAUGAUGCAUAGCCGAGUUGAGAGACUGAUCGGCCACAAUGGGACUGAGACACGGCCCAUACUCCUACGGGAGGCAGCAGUAGGGAAUCUUCCACAAUGGGCGAAAGCCUGAUGGAGCAACGCCGCGUGUGUGAUGAAGGGUUUCGGCUCGUAAAACACUGUUGUAAGAGAAGAAUGACAUUGAGAGUAACUGUUCAAUGUGUGACGGUAUCUUACCAGAAAGGAACGGCUAAAUACGUGCCAGCAGCCGCGGUAAUACGUAUGUUCCAAGCGUUAUCCGGAUUUAUUGGGCG